AGUGAACGCUGGCGGCGUGCCUAAUACAUGCAAGUCGAACGCGAAAGUCCUUCGGGAUGAGUAAAGUGGCGCACGGGUGAGUAAUACAUAAGAACAUGCCCUUAAAUGGGGAAUAACGUUUGGAAACGAACGCUAAUACCGCAUAAUCUCGAGAGAGUAAAGGUGGCGCCGCAAGGGCUACCGUUUAAGGAUUGGCUUAUGUCCCAUUAGCUAGUUGGCAGGGUAAUGGCCUACCAAGGCAACGAUGGGUAACUGGUCUGAGAGGAUGAUCAGUCACACUGGAACUGAGACACGGUCCAGACUCCUACGGGUGGCAG
rnacentral:rRNA from 1 species